rnacentral:rRNA from 1 species
AGUCGAACGGCAGCAUGAGAGAGCUUGCUCUCUUGAUGGCGAGUGGCGGACGGGUGAGUAAUGUAUCGGAACGUGCCCGGYAGUGGGGGAUAACUACGCGAAAGCGUAGCUAAUACCGCAUAUUCUCUACGGAGGAAAGAGGGGGAUCGUAAGACCUCUUGCUACCGGAGCGGCCGAUAUCAGAUUAGCUGGUUGGUGGGGUAACGGCCUACCAAGGCGGUGAUCUGUAGCUGGUUUGAGAGGACGACCAGCCACACUGGGACUGAGACACGGCCCAGACUCCUACGGGAGGCAGCAGUGGGGAAUUUUCGACAAUGGGGGGAACCCUGAUCGAGCCAUCUCGCGUGUGGGACGAAGGCCUUCGGGUUGUAAACCACUUUUCUCAACGAAGAAAAGUCUUAGGCUAAUACCUUAAGAUGCUGACGGUAGUUGAGGAAUAAGCACCGGCUAA